rnacentral:rRNA from 1 species
CCCCAGCACCACAAGUGGGGCUCGUAUUUAUUUGGCCUAAAGCGCUCGUAGCCGGUCAUGUAAAUCUCUUGUGAAAUCGUUGCGCUUAACGUAACGGCGUGCAGGAGAAACUGCAUGACUAGGGACCGGGAGGCGUAGAGGGUAUUCCUUGGGGAGCAGUAAAAUGCUAUAAUCCAUGGAAGACCACCUGUGGCGAAGGCGCUCUACGAGAACAGGUUCGACGGUGAGGGGCGAAAGCUAGGGGAGCGAUCCG